rnacentral:rRNA from 1 species
AUUGAACGCUGGCGGCAGGCCUAACACAUGCAAGUCGAGCGAGUGGCGGACGGGUGAGUAAUGUCUGGGAAACUGCCUGAUGGAGGGGGAUAACUACUGGAAACGGUAGAUAAUACCGCAUACCAUCGGAUGUGCCCAGAUGGGAUUAGCUAGUAGGUGGGGUAACGGCGCACCUAGGCGACGAUCCCUAGCUGGUCGGAGAGGAUGACCAGCCACACUGGAACGGAGACAUGUUCCAGACUCCUACGGGACGCAGCAGUGGGGAAUAUUGCACAAUGGGCGCAAGCCUGAUGCAGCCAUGCCGCGUGUAUGAAGAAGGCCUUCGGGUUGUAAAGUACUUUCAGCGGGGAGGCGUUACCCGCAGAAGAAGCACCGGCUAACUCCGUGCCAGCAGCCGCGGUAAUUC